rnacentral:rRNA from 1 species
UGGCGGCGUGCCUAAUACAUGCAAGUCGAACGGCUUUUCUAUGGAAGCUUGCUUCCACUGAGAAGAUAGUGGCGAACGGGUGAGUAACACGUGGGGUAACCUGCCCAUAAGAGGGGGAUAACAUCCGGAAACGGGUGCUAAUACCGCAUAGUUUUCUUGAUCGCAUGAUCGGGAAAGGGAAGACGGCCUUUGUGCUGUCGCUUAUGGAUGGACCCGCGGCGUAUUAGUUAGUUGGUGAGGUAACGGCUCACCAAGACGAUGAUACGUAGCCGACCUGAGAGGGUGAUCGGCCACAUUGGGACUGAGACACGGCCCAAACUCCUACGGGAGGCAGCAGUAGGGAAUCUUCCGCAAUGGACGAAAGUCUGACGGAGCAACGCCGCGUGAGUGAAGAAAGGUUUUCGGAUCGUAAAACUCUGUUGUCAGAGAAGAACAAGUUGGAGAGUAACUGCUCCAGCCUUGACGGUAUCUGACCAGAAAGCCACGGCUAACUACGUGCCAGCCGCUGC